rnacentral:rRNA from 1 species
AUACAGAGGGUGCAAGCGUUAAUCGGAAUUACUGGGCGUAAAGCGCGCGUAGGCGGUUUGUUAAGUUGGAUGUGAAAGCCCCGGGCUUAACCUGGGAGGGUCAUUCAAAACUGGCAGACUAGAGUGUGGUAGAGGGUAGUGGAAUUCCUAGUGUAGCGGUGAAAUGCGUAGAGAUUAGGAGGAACACCAGUGGCGAAGGCGACUGCCUGGACCAACACUGACGCUGAGGUGCGAAAGCGUGGGUAGCGAACAGGAUUAGAAACCCCUGUAGUCC